CUACAGGAAGUGACUGAUCAAACAGGAAGUGCCCUGCCUAUAAAGGAAGCAGGAAGUUGAGGGUUCCUUCUUUGAUCUUCAAGGCUGCACACAGCAGGCAGCAACAGAAAUUUUUCACUUCUUCUUCAAUCUGGUGAAUAAAUCCAAAGAGUCACUAACAUCCUGACUCACUCAUCGUUGAAUGGAGUUUGUCUGACUGUUAACCUACCUGCACCAAACACGUGGAGGACUGUACACACACCUGUGGAGGAUGUAGAGGACCAGCUCUUUGCUUCCUGCACUGGCAGCGUGAUGACGUCAACUGCAGCCGGACGAGUCGAGUGCGGCUCCCUUCAGGUGGGGCUCCCUUCAGGUGGGGCUCCCUCCAGGUGCGGCUCCCUCCAGGUGGGGCUCCCUCCAGGUGGGGCUCCCUUCAGGUGCGGCUCCUGCAGCUGAUGAUUCAAUUCAAAGACACAUGGGCAGCCUGACCAAAACAAGAUGACGAGCUGUUAGCAUGUCUGCUACACCACGCUGCCUCACCUGCUUCAUUCAACAUUUGGUGUUUCCUCGCUCUGAAGAGUAGGAUCUGUGCUGCAACUGGAAGGAGUUUCUUCGGAUUAAAGUUUACCUGUUAGCCCUUGUUUUUUUAUCUUUCAGCUAUAGUUUUGUUUAAUUUUCAUUUGCAGUUCUCUCUGAAGACACUUUGAUAAUAAAAUGUUCAAGUCUUAAUUUGU